rnacentral:rRNA from 1 species
CCUACGGGUGGCAGCAGUGGGGGAUAUUGCACAAUGGGGGAAACCCUGAUGCAGCGACGCCGCGUGAGUGAAGAAGUAUUUCGGUAUGUAAAGCUCUAUGAGCAGGGAAGAAAAAGGACGGUACCUGACUAAGAAGCACCGGCUAACUACGUGCCAGCAGCGGCGGUAAUACGUAGGGGGCAAGCGUUGUCCGGAUUUACUGGGUGUAAAGGGAGCGUAGACGGCUGUGCAAGUCUGAAGUGAAAGCCCAGGGCUCAACCCUGGGACUGCUUUGGAAACUGUGGAUCUAGAGUGCGGGAGAGGUAAGUGGAAUUCCUAGUGUAGCGGUGAAAUGCGUAGAUAUUAGGAGGAACACCAGUGGCGAAGGCGGCUUACUGGACAUUAACUGACGCUGAGGCUCGAAAGCGUGGGGAGCAAACAGGAUUAGAUACCCGGGUAGUC